rnacentral:sRNA from 1 species
GCCAGGUGUGGUGGUGCAUGCCUGUAAUCCCAGCUACUCGGGAGGCUGAGGCAGGAGAAUUGCUUGAACCCAGGAGGCGGAGGUUGCAGUGAGCCGAGAUCACACCACUGCACUCCAGCCUGGGUGACAGAGCAAGAUUCUGUCUCAA